AGAGUUUGAUCCUGGCUCAGAAUCAACGCUGGCGGCGUGCCUAACACAUGCAAGUCGAACGAGAAAGUGGAGCAAUCCAUGAGUAAAGUGGCGCACGGGUGAGUAACACGUGACUAACCUACCUUUUUGUGGGGGAUAACCUAGGGAAACCUGGGCUAAUACCGCAUAAUACCUACGGGUCAAAGCAGCAAUGCGCAGAAAGAGGGGGUCGCGGCCGAUUAGCUAGUUGGCGGGGUAAUGGCCCACCAAGGCAGUGAUCGGUAUCCGGCCUGAGAGGGCGCACGGACACACUGGAACUGAAACACGGUCCAGACUCCUACGGGAGGCAGCAGUGGGGAAUUUUGCGCAAUGGGGGAAACCCUGACGCAGCAACGCCGCGUGGAGGAUGAAGUCCCUUGGGACGUAAACUCCUUUCGAUCGGGACGAUAAUGACGGUACCGGAAGAAGAAGCCCCGGCUAACUUCGUGCCAGCAGCCGCGGUAAUACGAGGGGGGCAAGCGUUGUUCGGAAUUAUUGGGCGUAAAGGGUGCGUAGGUGGUUCGGCAAGUCUUGUGUGAAAUCUUCAGGCUCAACUUGAAGUCUGCACAAGAAACUGCCGGGCUUGAGUAUGGGAGAGGUGAGUGGAAUUUCCGGUGUAGCGGUGAAAUGCGUAGAUAUCGGAAGGAACACCUGUGGCGAAAGCGGCUCACUGGACCAUUACUGACACUGAGGCACGAAAGCUAGGGGAGCAAACAGGAUUAGAUACCCUGGUAGUCC
rnacentral:rRNA from 1 species